UUUAUGGAGAGUUUGAUCCUGGCUCAGGAUGAACGCUGGCGGCGUGCCUAAUACAUGCAAGUCGAGCGAACGGACGAGAAGCUUGCUUCUCUGAUGUUAGCGGCGGACGGGUGAGUAACACGUGGAUAACCUACCUAUAAGACUGGGAUAACUUCGGGAAACCGGAGCUAAUACCGGAUAAUAUUUUGAACCGCAUGGUUCAAAAGUGAAAGACGGUCUUGCUGUCACUUAUAGAUGGAUCCGCGCUGCAUUAGCUAGUUGGUAAGGUAACGGCUUACCAAGGCAACGAUGCAUAGCCGACCUGAGAGGGUGAUCGGCCACACUGGAACUGAGACACGGUCCAGACUCCUACGGGAGGCAGCAGUAGGGAAUCUUCCGCAAUGGGCGAAAGCCUGACGGAGCAACGCCGCGUGAGUGAUGAAGGUCUUCGGAUCGUAAAACUCUGUUAUUAGGGAAGAACAUAUGUGUAAGUAACUGUGCACAUCUUGACGGUACCUAAUCAGAAAGCCACGGCUAACUACGUGCCAGCAGCCGCGGUAAUACGUAGGUGGCAAGCGUUAUCCGGAAUUAUUGGGCGUAAAGCGCGCGUAGGCGGUUUUUUAAGUCUGAUGUGAAAGCCCACGGCUCAACCGUGGAGGGUCAUUGGAAACUGGAAAACUUGAGUGCAGAAGAGGAAAGUGGAAUUCCAUGUGUAGCGGUGAAAUGCGCAGAGAUAUGGAGGAACACCAGUGGCGAAGGCGACUUUCUGGUCUGUAACUGACGCUGAUGUGCGAAAGCGUGGGGAUCAAACAGGAUUAGAUACCCUGGUAGUCCACGCCGUAAACGAUGAGUGCUAAGUGUUAGGGGGUUUCCGCCCCUUAGUGCUGCAGCUA
rnacentral:rRNA from 1 species